GACAGAGGAUGCAAGCGUUAUCCGGAAUGAUUGGGCGUAAAGCGUCUGUAGGUGGCUUUUUAAGUCCGCCGUCAAAUCCCAGGGCUCAACCCUGGACAGGCGGUGGAAACUACCAAGCUGGAGUACGGUAGGGGCAGAGGGAAUUUCCAGUGGAGCGGUGAAAUGCGUAGAGAUUGGAAAAGAACACCGAUGGCGAAGGCACUUUACUGGGCUAUUACUAAACACUGAGAGACGAAAAGCUAGGGUAGCAAAUGGGG
rnacentral:rRNA from 1 species